CCAACUGAUGAGUCUCAAAUAGGACGAAACGGCCGUCUAGUGC
rnacentral:hammerhead_ribozyme from 1 species